rnacentral:rRNA from 1 species
AGUACACUCCUGCGGGAGGCAGCAGUGGGGAAUAUUGCACAAUGGGCGCAAGCCUGAUGCAGCCAUGCCGCGUGUAUGAAGAAGGCCUUCGGGUUGUAAAGUACUUUCAGCGGGGAGGAAGGCAAUACGGUUAAUAACCGUGUUGAUUGACGUUACCCGCAGAAGAAGCACCGGCUAACUCCGUGCCAGCAGCCGCGGUAAUACGGAGGGUGCAAGCGUUAAUCGGAAUUACUGGGCGUAAAGCGCACGCAGGCGGUCUGUCAAGUCGGAUGUGAAAUCCCCGGGCUCAACCUGGGAACUGCAUUCGAAACUGGCAGGCUUGAGUCUUGUAGAGGGGGGUAGAAUUCCAGGUGUAGCGGUGAAAUGCGUAGAGAUCUGGAGGAAUACCGGUGGCGAAGGCGGCCCCCUGGACAAAGACUGACGCUCAGGUGCGAAAGCGUGGGGAGCAAACAGGAUUAGAUACCCGUGUAGUCCCAUGAU